GUAAACGUUGCGUGGGCGAGAGGGGGAAACCGCGUCGGGCUCGCCUCGGGAUGAGGAUCGGCUUUCUGAGAGCACAGUCCGAGCAGGGAACGCGGGACAGCGCUCGGUGAAUCCGACAUGGAGUCCCCGCCUCUGCACCUGAGAGGAGAUUUGCGCACCGAUUUCCUGAUGGCGUCCCAGCGCAGGACCUGUUCACAGCAGCUCAUACAUACGGAUGAACAGGGACCAAGGGAGGGAGCGCCGUGGAGCGUCAGGAUAACACGUUCUUAAGUUUGCUCUGCAUCAGACGUGUUGGAGGCUGGCUAGAGAGAGAAAGAGGAAGAGACAAGAGUAAAAGAGAGAAGAAAGAAAACACACAAGGUCCCGGCGCCUUUAACGGGACGCCGCAGGGAAAAACAGCUGACAGUCCCUGGAAUGCUCCUGGACAUGUGAGGUUAACUGGGCUUUAACCUCAGCACCGUGGGAGGGCAGCGCUGCUGUAACACUGUAGACCCACAGCUGGACGCUCAUCGGAGGCUCACAUUGGACAACGACUCUAAGACUCAGCAAUCACAGAUCCGUCAUUUGAAUGUUGAUGUCAUGAACAGCCUUCAAACCGCACCCCGUGAAGUUCCCUCCAAAUUUCGAAGAAGCGCUCUCAGCAGAUAAG